rnacentral:rRNA from 1 species
UACAGAGGGUGCAAGCGUUAAUCGGAAUUACUGGGCGUAAAGGGUGCGUAGGUGGUAUGUUAAGUUGGAUGUGAAAGCCCUGGGCUUAACCUAGGAAUUGCAUUCAAUACUGUCAUACUAGAGUCGGGUAGAGGGAGGUGGAAUUUCCGGUGUAGCGGUGAAAUGCGUAGAGAUCGGAAGGAACACCAGUGGCGAAGGCGGCCUCCUGGACCCAGACUGACACUGAGGCACGAAAGCGUGGGGAGCAAACAGG